rnacentral:rRNA from 1 species
CAUGCUGAUAUACUACGCUACGUGGUGAAUGGUUUGGCUUGGGUGCCGAUGAAGGGCGUGGCAAGCUGCGAUAAGCCUCGGGUAGACGCACGCAGUCCGAGAUCCGAGGAUGCCCGAAUUGGACUUCCUAACGCCUUCGGGCGUUGCUCCGUGAGGAGCGGGAACCCCCUGAACCGAAACAUCCUAUUAAGGGGAGGAAAAGAAACCAACUGGGAUCUCCUGACUAGCAGCGAGCGAAAAGGAGAAAGCCUAAACUGAAUUCUCCAGCGACGAGCUGGCGAAGAUGUGGUGUAUGGGACAAGGUUGUCUCUAGUCGACGAAGUAGAAGUGUUCUGGAAAGCUCCGCCAUAGAGGGUGAUAGCCCCUUAUACGAAAGUCGAAAGUGACUGCUUUGUUUCCGGAGUAGCACGCCUUGGGAUUGGCGUGUGAAACUGGGAGACAUCAGCUUCCAAGGCUAAAUACAACCCAAGACCGAUAGCGCACUAGUACGGUGACGGAAAAAUGAAAAGUCCCCCGCGAGGGGCGUCAAAAGAGCCUGAACCCACGUAGUUAUUGACGAUUGAGGCCCGUAAGGUAAUCCACGCAAAGGAGGCCGGGGUAACCCGGCAUUACGAGCGUGGCUAAUCCGGGGUCUCAUGCUUCGUUUAGAAUCACGAGCCGGGGAGUUUACCGUAGUGGCAAGCAUAAGGGCGCGAUGCCCGAAAGCGCAGGGAAACCGAAAUGCGAGCAGCCGUAAGGCAAGUCGCUGCGUCUGAAAGGGCGCGGAGUCACGACGGUCAGACUAGAAAGCAGAUGAUCUAUGCCAGGGCAAGGUGAAGUCAGGCGAAAGCCUGAUGGAGGCCUGCAAGGGUGCUAACGUGCAAAUUGCUCCCCUGACCUUGGUAUAGGGGCAAAAGACCAAUCUAAUCUGCUGAUAGCUAGUUCCCAUCGAAGUAUGUCGCAGCAUAGUCUCCAGGGAGGCAUCUGGCGGGGUAGAGCACCAAUCGGAAAACACGGAAGGGAAACCUUUCACUUUCCUUUUGAACUCCGAAUACGCCAGAGCCGUGGAACUGGGGAGACGGAACGCACGGGUUAAGCUCGUGCUUCGUGAGGGGAGCAACCCGGACUGGGGUUAAGGCCCCCAAGUGCUGGCUAAGUGACAAACAAAAGAGCGUCGUAAGCCUAAGACAGCGGGGAGGUAGGCUUAGAAGCAGCCACCCUUCAAAGAAAUCGUAACAGAUCACCCGCCGAGGCUUAGGGCCUCAAAGAUGGACGGGUCUUAAGCCAGCCGCCGAUACCCUAGAGGUCCGCGUAAGCGUAUUCUGGUAGAUGGGCGUCCCGAUUGGGCAGAAGCAGGGCUGUGAAGUCCUGUGGACCGGUCGGGAGUGAGUAUCCCGGCGGUAGUAACAGCAUAGUCGAGUGGGAAUCUCGAUCGCCGAAAGAGCAAGGGUUUCCCGGCAACGCGUCGUCAGCCGGGAGUUAGUCGAUCCUAAGGCCAGCUUUAACAUGCCUGGUCGAAUGGGAAACAGGUUAACACUCCUGUACUACGGUAGUACAUGUGGCGACACAAGGUCCGCAGCGUGACGCUUCGGGGUAGGUUGAGCAGAACUGUCAUUCUGUUUAACUAUCCAAUUCUGGGGAGUACCGUAAUGGUGAGAACCAGAAGAAAAUAGGAAUAGCCCCCCGUUUAGGGGGGUUCAGCCGAGCCCUGGAGCCCAUGAAAAGCGCUGCGGAAGGGAUCUAUCGUAUUCGUACCCAGAACCAACACCGGUGCUCAGGGUGAGUAGCCCAAGGCGUGUCGGGUAACUCUACGCGAGGGAACUCGGCAAAUUAGCCCCGUAUCUUUGGUAUAAGGGGUGCCUACGGCAUUCCCGCAAGGGGGUGCGGUAGGUCGCAGUGACUAGGGGGUUCCGGCUGUUUAAUAAAAACAUAGGUAGCCGCUAGCCCGUAAGGGUGUGUACGGCUAUUGAAUCCUGUCCAGUGGUGGUACCUCAAACUUGAUUUCAACCGAGCUAAGGGCCGCUAAACGACGGGAGUAACUCUGACUCUCUCAAGGUAGCCAAAUGCCUUGUCGUGUAAGUUACGACGUGCAUGAAUGGAUCCACGAGGACCCCGCUGUCCCCGCGUAUAACCCGGUGAACCCACCUGCUGGACGAACAGUCCAGCGUCUCCCAGUGGGACAAGAAGACCCCGUAGAGCUUUACUGCAGUCAGUCGCUGGGGUGAGGUUACAUUUGCAGAGCGUAUGUGGGAGCCUAUGAACACGGAUCUCCGGGUCCGUAGGAGGCAACAAUGGAACACCACACAUUUGCGACCUCCCCCCUCACCGAGGCCAUGUAGCCCGGAACAACGGCUGAUGGGCAGUUCGGCUGGGGCGGCACCCCCUUGAAAAGGAAUCGAGGGGGCCCAAAGGCUAGCUCAGGAGGGACAGAAACCCUCCGUAGAGGGUAAAGCCAAAAGCUAGCCUGACCGGAAUCAUCCAAACUAAGUGUUCCGGAGGCGAAAGCCGGGCUUAACGAGCUAUCGUGUCCUUACAGAUGAGGGCCGGUAGUGCCAGAAAAGUUACCUCGGGGAUAACAGGCUUGUCGCGGGCGAGAGUUCGCAUCGACCUCGCGGUUCGGUACCUCGAUGUCGGCUCUUCCUAUCCUGGCCUUGCAUAAGGGGCCAAGGGUGAGGCUGCUCGCCUAUCAAAAGGGAUCGUGAGCUGGGUUUAGACCGUCGCGAGACAGGUCGGUUUUUAUCUACUGGGAGUGCAGGAUGUCUGAGGGGAAAGGGCCUUCAGUACGAGAGGAACGAGGCGCUGGAGCCUAUAGUUUACCGGUUGUCUGACAAGGCAUGCCGGGCAGCCACGCUCCUGCGGAUAAGGGCUGAAAGCAUCUAAGUCCGAAGCCGCUCCCAAAAAUAGACAUCCGUCCGGAACGAAAGUUCUGGUGAAGGGCACCCGUAAAAGACGGGUUCGAUGGAGAGGCGGUGUACGUGCCAAGACUUCGGUCGAGACACUCAGCCGGCCUCCCCCAACAGCCCGAAAUGUCAGCAUU